rnacentral:rRNA from 1 species
GAUGAACGCUAGCGAUAGGCUUAACACAUGCAAGUCGAGGGGCAGCAUGGUCUUAGCUUGCUAAGACUGAUGGCGACCGGCGCACGGGUGCGUAACGCGUAUGCAACUUGCCUCACAGAGGGGGAUAACCCGUCGAAAGACGGACUAAUACCGCGUACACUCCAUCUUGGGCAUCCAAGGUAGAGGAAAUGAAAUUCGCUGUGAGAUAGGCAUGCGUCCCAUUAGCUAGUUGGUGAGGUAACGGCUCACCAAGGCGACGAUGGGUAGGGGAACUGAGAGGUGGAACCCCCACACCGGUACUGAGACACGGACCAGACUCCUACGGGAGGCAGCAGUGAGGAAUAUUGGUCAAUGGGCGAGAGCCUGAACCAGCCAAGUCGCGUGAAGGAUGACUGUCUUAUGGAUUGUAAACUUCUUGUAUACGGGAAUAACAAGAGUCACGUGUGACUCCCUGCAUGUACCGUAUGAAUAAGCAUCGGCUAACUCCGUG